rnacentral:rRNA from 1 species
GUGCCCGCCGCCCGGGUUAUACAGAGGGUGCCAGCGUUAAUCGGAUUUACUGGGGGGUAAAACCGCGCGUAGUGGGCCAUUAAGUCAAAUGUGAAAUCCCCGAGCUUAUCUUGGGAAUUGCAUUCGAUACUGGUUGGCUAGAGUAUGGGAGAGGAUGGUAGAAUUCCAGGUGUAGCGGUGAAAUGCGUAGAGAUCUGGAGGAAUACCGAUGGCGAAGGCAGCCAUCUGGCCUAAUACUGACACUGAGGUGCGAAAGCAUGGGGAGCAAACAGGAUUAGAUACCCUGGUAGUCC